UACGUAGGUGGCAAGCGUUGUCCGGAAUUAUUGGGCGUAAAGAGCUCGUAGGCGGCCUGUCGCGUCAAUUGUGAAAGCCCGGGGCUUAACCCCGGGUCUGCAGUCGAUACGGGCAGGCUAGAGUGUGGUAGGGGAGAUCGGAAUUCCUGGUGUAGCGGUGAAAUGCGCAGAUAUCAGGAGGAACACCGGUGGCGAAGGCGGAUCUCUGGGCCAUUACUGACGCUGAGGAGCGAAAGCGUGGGGAGCGAACAGG
rnacentral:rRNA from 1 species